CCCCCCUACACACACACACACACACACACACAUUUACGAAUCAAAUUCGAGGUCUGAUAUUCGUAAAAGUUCCCUCCCUGGUCGAUGGCUCUUGUACAACUCACGCUAAAUAUAAAUCUGUUUUCAAAACUCUUAUCACUUUACUGUAUCGACCGACGGAAAGAAAAUCGGUCUAAAUUGCUAUAUGCUCUACGUAUAUGCUGGAC